rnacentral:rRNA from 1 species
AAUCAUGGCUCAGGACGAACGCUGGCGGCGUGCCUAACACAUGCAAGUCGAGCGGAGACAGUGAGUAGCUUGCUAUGAGCUAUUUUAGCGGCGGACGGGUGAGUAACGCGUGAGCAACCUUUCCCAGACAGGGGAAUAACACACCGAAAGGUGUACUAAUACCGCAUAAGACCACGGAAUCACAUGGUUCUGGGGUAAAAGAAUUAUCGGUUUGGGGUGGGCUCGCGUCCGAUUAGGUAGUUGGUGAGGUAACGG